rnacentral:rRNA from 1 species
AAGGGAAGCGAAACAGUGAUGUGAAGCGAAACUACAAAAAAGUAAGUCUCAGUUCGGAUUGAAGGCUGAAAUUCGCCUUCAUGAAGUCGGAAUUGCUAGUAAUCGCAGAUCAGCAUGCUGCGGUGAAUACGUUCCCGGGCCUUGUACACACCGCCCGUCACACCAUGGGAGUCGGUAACACCCGAAGUCGGUAGCCUAACCGUAAGGAGGGCGCCGCCGAAGGUGGGAUUGAUGACUGGGGUGAAGUCGUAACAAGGUAGC